rnacentral:rRNA from 1 species
UACGAAGGGGACUAGCGUUGUUCGGAAUUACUGGGCGUAAAGCGCACGUAGGCGGAUUUGUAAGUCAGGGGUGAAAUCCCGGGGCUCAACCUCGGAACUGCCUUUGAUACUGCAAAUCUCGAGUCCGAUAGAGGUGGGUGGAAUUCCUAGUGUAGAGGUGAAAUUCGUAGAUAUUAGGAAGAACACCAGUGGCGAAGGCGGCUCACUGGCCCGGUACUGACGCUCAUGUGCGAAAGCGUGGGGAGCAAACAGG